rnacentral:rRNA from 1 species
UACGGAGGGUGCAAGCGUUAUCCGGAUUCACUGGGUUUAAAGGGUGCGUAGGUGGAAUGGUAAGUCAGUGGUGAAAUCUCCAAGCUUAACUUGGAACUGCCGUUGAUACUAUCAUUCUUGAAUAUCGUGGAGGUAAGCGGAAUAUGUCAUGUAGCGGUGAAAUGCGUAGAUAUUGGGAGGAACACCAGUGGCGAAGGCGGCUCACUGGACCGGUACUGACGCUGAUGCGCGAAAGCGUGGGGAGCAAACGGG